rnacentral:hammerhead_ribozyme from 1 species
GUACUGAUGAAGAGUCCCAAAAUAGGACGUAACGACUGUCCAGAAC